UACGUAGGGGGCAAGCGUUAUCCGGAUUUACUGGGUGUAAAGGGAGCGUAGACGGCGGUGCAAGCCAGAUGUGAAAGCCCGGGGCUCAACUCCGGGACUGCAUUUGGAACUGUGCUGCUAGAGUGUCGGAGAGGCAGGCGGAAUUCCUAGUGUAGCGGUGAAAUGCGUAGAUAUUAGGAGGAACACCAGUGGCGAAGGCGGCCUGCUGGACGAUGACUGACGUUGAGGCUCGAAAGCGUGGGGAGCAAACAGG
rnacentral:rRNA from 1 species